AAGUUUAAAAUUACUGGUGAAAGAAAAGACAUACCUACCGAGAUUGUUUCCUACAACUAGUGAUGCAGACUAUAUCCAUCUUGUUGAUAUGCUAUUGUGCUUAUACAGUAAGCUGUCCCUUCCGGACAUUCUAAUCUCUUCAACAUCAGUAAAGAUUUGCACUGUAGAUGACUGUGGUAAUUGUCUUCCUCCUCCUUCUACAGCCUGUUGGGGCGGAGAGAAAACCAAGAAUAUAGCUUGUGCAAACCUCAGAACAGGAAAUGCUUACAGAUACUGUGUAGAUGUGAAAGAGGAAUCUACAAGGAUCUUAUGCGUGGAGUGGAUGUCCAUGAUCCCCAAUGGGGUGACUUCAACCACAGAUGAUACGUCUACGUGGCUUGCUGAACUUUGCCGACACAAAAACACUUCACAAGCACCCAAUGUGAUUGAUGUCAGCUACUCCUGCAUCACCCUCCUGGAGUGUGUCAACGUAGACCACACUGCCAUAAGCAAUUUUACUGAGCAUUCGACCCAUAUCAUUGUCUCUGGUGCAUCAGGUGAGAUGUGUAUAUUGCUUUUCAAGUUUGAGGACAUGUCUUCUUGUUAUUUUUAUUUUUUUUCACAUAUACAGUGCCUUCGGAAACUAUUCAGACUCAUUGACUUUUUCCACAUUUUGUUAUGUUUCAGCCUAAUUCUAAAAUGUAUUAAAUAGUUUUAUCCCCACAUCAGUCUACAAUACCCCAUAAUGACAAAGCAAAAACCACUGUUUGGACAUUUUUGCAAAUUUAUUAAAAUUCGUAAACUUAAAAAUAACAUUUACUUAAGUAUUGACUGUUUAUGCUACAAGCUUGGCACACCUGUAUUUGGCGAGUUUUUCCCAUUCUUCUCUGCAGAACCUCUCAAGCUCUAUCCGGUUGGAUGGGGAGCGUUGCUGCACAGCUAUUUUCUAGUCUCUCCAGAGAUGUUCGAUCGGGUUCAAGUCCGGGCUCUGGCUGGGCCACUCAAGGACAUUCAGAGACUUGUCCCGAAGCCAAUCCUGCGAUGUCUUGGCUGUGUGCUUAGGGUCGUUGUCCUGUUGGAAGGUGAACCUUUGCCCCAGUCUGAGGUCCUAAGCGCUCUGGAGCAGGUUUUCAUCAAGGAUCUCUCUCUACUUUGCUCCGUUCAUCUUUGCCUCGAUCCUGACUAGUCUCCCAGUCCCUUCCCCUGAAAAACAUCCCCACAGCAUGAUGCUGCCACCACCAUGCUUCACCGUAGGGAUUGUGCCAGGUUUCCUCCAGACGUGACGCUUGGCAUUCAGGCCAAAGAGUUCAAUCUUCGUUUCAUCAGACCAGAGAAUCUUGUUUCUCAUGGUCUGAAAGUCUUUAGGUGCCUUCUGGCAAACUCCAAGCGGGUUGUCAUGUGCCUUUUACUUUGCUACUGUACCAUAAAGGCCUGAUUGGUGGAGUGCUGCAGAGAUGGUUGUCCUUUCUUUAAGGUUCUCCCAUCUCCACAGUGGAACUCUAGAGCUCUAUCAGAGUGACCAUCGAGUUCUUGGUCACCUCCGUGACCUGGGCGUCCAGCUCUAGGAAGAGUCUUGGUGGUUCCAAACUUCUUCCAUUUAAGAAUGAUUGAGGCCACUGUGUUCUUGGGGACCUUCAAUGCUGCAGAAAUGUUUUUGUACCCUUCCCCAGAUCUGUGCCUCGACACAAUCCUGUCUCAGAGCUCUAUUGACAAUUCCUUCAACCUCAUGGCUUGGUUUUUGCUCUGACAUGCACUGUCAACUGUGAGACCGUAUAUAGAGAGGUGUGUGUCAUUUCCAAAUCAUGUCCAAUCAAUUGAAUUUACCACAGGUGGACUCAAAUCAAAAUUAUUGGUCACAAAUAAACAGCAAACCUGGUUUCAAAAGCAACACCUCACGGCACAACGCCUCUCCCCUAUUUGACCUAGAUUGUUUGUGUGUAUGCAUUGAUAUGUAGGCUACGUGUGCCUUUAAAAAAAUGGUAUGUAGUUCUGUCCUUGAGCUGUUCUUGUCUAUUAAUGUUCUGUAUUAUGUCAUUCUGUAUUAUGUUUCAUGUUUUGUGUGGACCCCAGGAAGAGUAGCUGCUGCUUUUGCAGCAGCUAGUGGGGAUCCUAAUAAAAUACCAAAAUACA